rnacentral:rRNA from 1 species
UUCGCAAUGCCCGAAAGGGUGACGAAGCGACGCCGCGUGAGUGAGGAAGGCCUUCGGGUUGUAAAGCUCUGUCAGGAGUUAAGAAAUAUAAGUGUGCUAAUACCACAUUUAUUUGACAAAAGCUCCAAAGGAAGCCACGGCUAACUCUGUGCCAGCAGCCGCGGUAAUACAGAGGUGGCAAGCGUUGUUCGGAAUUAUUGGGCGUAAAGAGCACGUAGGUGGGUUUGUAAGUCAGAUGUGAAAGCCUUCUGUUCAACGGAAGAAUUGCAUCUGAAACUGCGAGUCUUGAGUGUAGGAGGGGAGAAUGGAACUUCUGGUGGAGCGGUGAAAUGCGUAGAUAUCAGAAGGAACGCCGGCGGCGAAAGCGAUUCUCUGGCCUAUUACUGACACCCAGUGUGCGAAAGCUAGGGGAGCAAACGGGAUUAGAUACCCCGGUAGUCCUAGCCGUAAACGAUGGGCACUAAGUAGAGGGGAUUACCGAUGUUCUCUCUGCCGUAGCUAACGCAUUAAGUGCCCCGCCUGGGGAGUACGGCCGCAAGGCUAAAACUCAAAAGAAUUGACGGGGGCUCGCACAAGCGGUGGAGCAUGUGGUUUAAUUCGAUGCAACGCGGAGAACCUUACCGGGGCUUGACAUGGUAGAAGUAGGAACCUGAAAGGGUAACGAACGGUAUCCAGUCCGUAGCUAUCACAGGUGUUGCAUGGCUGUCGUCAGCUCGUGUCGUGAGACGUUGGGUUAAGUCCCCUAACGAGCGAAACCCUUGUUUUUAGUUACCAGCGGGUCAUGCCGGGUACUCUAGAAAGACUGCCGUCGUCAAGGCGGAGGAAGGUGGGGAUGACGUCAAGUCAUCAUGGCCCUUAUGCCCCGGGCUACACACGUGCUACAAUGGUCGGUACAAACGGAAGCGAAGCCGAGAGGUGAAGCGAAUCCUAAAAAGCCGAUCUCAGUUCGGAUUGGAGGCUGAAAUUCGCCUCCAUGAAGUUGGAAUCGCUAGUAAUCGCGGAUCAGCUCGCCGCGGUGAAUAUGUUCCCGAGCCUUGUACACACCGCCCGU